rnacentral:lncRNA from 1 species
UGUGGUUAUGUUAAUGAGCGCAUGUAACAAAGUUUAUUUUGUAAGUUCAGAGAAGCAACGAGGUAAAAGCAAAACACUAAAACCAUGCAAUUCUUGUAGGAUAUCUAAAAGUUCAACAAUAAAAAUUAUAUAAGUUUAGUCUCAAGUGGAGAGAAGUUCCUGCAUCUCUGUAUGCCCGUGGAUGCUUGUGUGCUAUAGUUGCUUUCUCCCCUUCCUGUACAUGCUGCUACUCACCUUUUUAUCUCUCUGAUGCGUUGUGUUGCACUACUGCAGCUCGAUCCAGGAGGUGAUAGCUCAUGUUGGCUGGAACUAGGAUGCAAAAGGGUUGACGGAUCCAUGCCGCACAAGCACUGGUGCUCUACUUUCUUCUUACUUUGUGUUCUAAUUUGCUUUCUUAUUAUUUUCAGUUUGCGAGAUACAAAAAAAGUUAAAAAAAUGUUGUGCCUGGAGUUCAUAUUAUUUGCUACCCUGUGAUGUACGUCUAUAGUUUCUCCCUCCAAAUGUGUUGAUCCAUGUGGUUGUAUUUUCUGUGUUUCUCCCUCCAAACGUAUGCAAGUAGAGAAGUUGCACACAAACAGAAGUUCUUUUAGUGAGAAUAAUGCAUACUGUCUUCUAUAACUCAUUUCACUUCACGAUUUCUUCCACCUGUUUGUUGUUUCCUAUUUAUCCUAAUUCCUAAAUGUUCUACUCAACUUCAGCGCCAUGCUCAGUCCAACCCCGUGGCUUCAGGGUGGCCGAGUUCGUCGCGACCAUCAGUUCGGAGAUCUGCGUCACUGCUCGUGUCACUACCAUGGCCACCUGCAUCACUGUGUGAUCCAUCAACAGCCUCUUGCACAAGGAAAAGCAACAGGAGUAGAGGCGUCUGAGAUGCUCUGUCCUGGCGACUAUGAGAAAGGCAAGUGCUUAUGCGGCUUUUGCUAAAGAAGAAAGGCCUAGCUUAACUGGCAUAGCAGUACUCAAAUUAGGUGUCGAUGUUGUGGAGGCUUUGGAUCUUUCCCUAGUUGCUUGACUCCAAUAAUUAUGCCUUUUGACAUUGUGCCAUUUGGUCGUCCUUUGGCCUUGUAUCAAACUUCUAGUCAUCUUGUUACAUCAGUUCAAAAGCAUAGAGGUGGUAAUGAUGUAGCGAUCUUGUCCGCGGCCAC